AAGGAAAAAAUAUCCAUUCUUCGCGAAAACGAAGCACUAAAGAAGGACAGUGAAAGGCUUUAUGCUGAAAAGGACUCCUGGAUGAAGACCAGUGAAUUGGCUAAUAAUCAGGUUGCAGCUUUAAGGAAAUCUUUGGAUGCUGCUCACAUGGACAUAAAAGAGAAGGAGAAAAUGGUUCGAGACUUGAAGCAAUCAUUGGAUGUCCAUAGGAAGGAGCUGAAUGACUGCAGAGCUGAAAUUACAGCCCUUAAGAUGCACAUUGAAGGGACUCAAUCAAGUAAACAAAUGCCUGUUGGAGAUACUGAUGUUUUUUCUACCCAGUUAAAUGCUAAUUCUAUGGGAGAAGCAGCAGCAUUGAUCAAUGAACAUGAAAACCUCAAAGGAACUGAAUCUAUAACUAUUAAGCUAGUAUCAGCAGCGGCUCUGACUGAGGACACAAGGAAAGAUCAUAAAAAUACCGAAAGUACUAUUGAAGGUUCCCCAGAUUCAGAAGCACCAGUUCCUUGCUCAACUGCUGGGGGCGGUGGUUAUGGUACUUCAGGAUAUGAAUCUGGCACAGAUACUUCUCCGGAAGGUAUAUCUGUUAAUGGCACUCAGCAUGGAGCUGGUAACAGCCAGGGGAAUUCAGGCAGCAUAUCAGUUUAUGUAUCGGAAGAUAAAGUUAACACUGAGAUAGUAGAGAGUCCAAGUAUACAUAAAUCGUCAUAUAAGAUGGCCUUGGAAACUAUCAAGAUAGUUUCAGAUGCUCUUCCAAAGAUAGUUCCAUAUGUGCUCAUAAACCAUCGCGAGGAGCUUCUUCCAUUGAUCAUAUGUGCUAUAGAAAGACAUCCAGAUAGCGACGUACGGGAUUCGUUGACUCACACAUUGUUUAAUCUGAUAAAACGGCCUGAUGGACAACAGAGGCGCAUCAUAAUGGAUGCUUGCGUGGAAUUAGCCACGAGUGUUGGGGAGAUGAGAACAGAGACUGAAUUACUACCACAGUGUUGGGAACAGAUAAAUCACCAGUAUGAGGAGCGUAGGUUGCUUGUUGCUCAGUCCUGUGGAGAACUGGCAAUAUAUGUUCGUCCCGAGAUACGCGAUUCCCUUAUCCUAUCUAUUGUGCAACAACUUGUCGAAGAUUCUGCAACUGUUGUAAGGGAGGCUGCAACACAUAAUCUGGCCUUGCUGCUUCCUUUGUUUCCGAACAUGGAUAAAUAUUAUAAGGUUGAGGAGCUAUUGUUUCAGUUGGUCCGUGACCCUUCUGGGGUAGUGGUGGAUGUUGCUCUCAGAGAACUUGUUCCUGCAGUAGUAGGAUGGGGAGGUAAACUGGAUCAGAUAUUGAGAGUGUUACUGUCACAUAUCCUGGCAUCUGCUCAGCGUUGUCCAUCCGUUUCAGGGGUGGAAGGUACAAUAGACUCUCAUCUCCGUGUUUUAGGAGAACAAGAACGAUGGACCAUUGAAGUGCUCCUUCGGAUGCUGACUGAGUUGUUACCAUUUAUUCAUCAGAAAGCUAUAGAGACUUGUCCAUCAGUAGACCCCUCAGAAAACUACAUUUCAGAAUCCAGCCUAAAGCUGUAUGCAACAGGUGAGACAGAAUGGUCAGCAUUUGAGUGGAUGCACACUGAGUGCCUGCCGGAUUUGAUCAAGCUUGCCUGCUUGUUGCCUGCAAAAGAGGAUAGCUUAAGAACAGUGAUCACAAAGUACCUGUUGGCCGUAUCUGGACGCUAUGGAAAAGAUUAUCUCGAGCACAUUAUGUUACCUGUAUUUCUUAUAGCAGCUGGUGAUAUUGAUAGCGGUGAUUUUAUCUAUUUUCCUCUGUCAAUCCAGUCCAAAGUUCGUGGUUUCCGUCCGAAAACUUCUGUUGCUGAAAAAAUCGCUAUCAUUUGUGUUCUUCCAUUGCUAUUGUCUGGUAUUUUGGGUUCUCCUUCAAGUCGUCAACAGUUAGAAGAAUAUUUAAGGAAAUUACUUAUCCAAAACACGAAGGAUGGUUCAUUUUCUAUGCAUCACACUGCCGAGAUCAUUGACGCGAUCCGGUUUCUUUGCAUAUUUGAGGAGCACCAUGGAGUCAUCUUUCAUAUUCUGUGGGAGAUGGUUGUGAGCUCUGAUACCAAUUUAAAAACCAGUGCUGCAGCUUUACUGAAAGCACUUGUACCCUAUGUUGGCGUGAAAGUUGCAUCGACUCAUGUUUUGCCAGCACUCAUUACUCUUGGUUCUGAUCAAAACUCGGCUGUAAAAUAUGCUAGUAUAGAUGCAUUAGGAGCUGUUGCUCAGCAUUUCAAAAGUGACAUGGUUGUUGACAAGAUACAUAUUCAAAUGGAUGCCUUUCUUGAAGAUGGAUCACAUGAAGCUACUAUUUCGGUCAUUCGUGCACUUGCAGUAGCUGUGCCGCAUUCAACAGAUAGACUACGUGAACAUCUUUUAACCAAGAUAUUUAGACUUACAAGUGCCCCACCUACUGAAAAUAAUGUUGAACGGCGUCGUGAAAGAGCAAAUGUAUUCUGUGAAGCGCUGCGUGCUUUGGAUGCUACAGAUCUUCCUGCUUCAAGUGUACGUGAUCUACUUUUGCCCUCUAUACAGAACUUGUUAAAAGAUGUGGAUGCUCUAGACCCUGCACACAAGGAGGCACUAGAAGUUAUAGGCCGGGAAAGGUCUGGAGGUACGCUGGAGAGCAUCGGCAAGGCAAUGGGGGCACACCUUGGGAUCGCGACCUCUGUCAGCAGUUUCUUCGGCGAGAGCAGUCUGCUUGGGAAGAAAGAGGGUGGAGAGCAGCACGACCCUGCUGCUGCUUCUGUUCCUCCCCAGGUGGGCUUACAAACUCAGCAGGAGAACACGAGGUUUGGUCGCAUAAUGAGGGGUGGAUUUGGAGACAUGUUGCGAGGCAAAGCAAAGGGUGGUGAUGAACCCAGCUGA
rnacentral:rRNA from 1 species